AACGCACAUUGCGCCCUUUGGUAUUCCGAAGGGCAUGCCUGUUCGAGCGUCAUUAUCAUCCAUCAAGCCUGGCUUGUUGUUGGAUCAAAUCGCCGCUGUGGUGCGGUGAAGGUCCGAAAGAUAAUGGCGGUGUCGUGUCGACCCCACGUACAAUGAGCUUAGUUGCACGUACGUUUGGAAGUUGGCCGGCCCGGUCGCAAACUUUAUCCAACCUUAAGUUGACCUCGGAUCAGGUAGGGAUACCCGCUGAACUUAA
rnacentral:misc_RNA from 1 species